rnacentral:rRNA from 1 species
AGAGUUUGAUCCUGGCUCAGAACGAACGCUGGCGGCAGGCCUAACACAUGCAAGUCGAGCGCACCUUCGGGUGAGCGGCGGACGGGUGAGUAACGCGUGGGAAUAUGCCCUUUGGUACGGAAUAGUCCUGGGAAACUGGGGGUAAUACCGUAUGCGCCCUUCGGGGGAAAGAUUUAUCGCCAAAGGAUUAGCCCGCGUUGGAUUAGGUAGUUGGUGGGGUAAUGGCCUACCAAGCCGACGAUCCAUAGCUGGUUUGAGAGGAUGAUCAGCCACACUGGGACUGAGACACGGCCCAGACUCCUACGGGAGGCAGCAGUGGGGAAUCUUAGACAAUGGGGGCAACCCUGAUCUAGCCAUGCCGCGUGAGUGAAGAAGGCCUUCGGGUUGUAAAGCUCUUUCAGCUGGAGCGAAACGGUACGCUCUAACAUAGCGUGCUAAUGACGGUACCAGCAGAAGAAGCACCGGCUAACUACGUGCCAGCAGCCGCGGUAAUACGUAGGGUGCGAGCGUUAAUCGGAAUUACUGGGCGUAAAGCGUGCGCAGGCGGAUU